UUGUAGGUUCUUGGCGUUGAAAGAACUGCAUCACAGAAGGAGAUAAGAAAAGCGUAUCAUAAAUUGGCAUUGCGGCUACAUCCCGAUAAAAAUCCCGAUGACGAGGAAGCUAAGGAGAAAUUUCAGCAGCUGCAAAAAGUGAUCUCAAUUCUUGGGGAUGAAGAGAAAAGAGCUGUUUAUGAUCAAACCGGCUCAGUUGACGAUGCUGACUUUUCAGGGGAUGUCGUUGAUAACUUGCGGGAGUUCUUCCAAGCAAUGCACAAUAAGGUAACACUGUUGAAAAUUGAC